GAUGAACGCUGGCGGCGUGCCUAAUACAUGCAAGUCGAGCGAAUGGAUUGAGAGCUUGCUCUCAAGAAGUUAGCGGCGGACGGGUGAGUAACACGUGGGUAACCUGCCCAUAAGACUGGGAUAACUCCGGGAAACCGGGGCUAAUACCGGAUAAUAUUUUGAACUGCAUGGUUCGAAAUUGAAAGGCGGCUUCGGCUGUCACUGAUGGAUGGACCCGCGUCGCAUUAGCUAGUUGGUGAGGUAACGGCUCACCAAGGCAACGAUGCGUAGCCGACCUGAGAGGGUGAUCGGCCACACUGGGACUGAGACACGGCCCAGACUCCUACGGGAGGCAGCAGUAGGGAAUCUUCCGCAAUGGGCGAAAGUCUGACGGAGCAACGCCGCGUGAGUGAUGAAGGCUUUCGGGUCGUAAAACUCUGUUGUUAGGGAAGAACAAGUGCUAGUUGAAUAAGCUGGCACCUUGACGGUACCCAACCAGAAAGCCACGGCUAACUACGUGCCAGCAGCCGCCGUAA
rnacentral:rRNA from 1 species